rnacentral:rRNA from 1 species
ACUCCUACGGGAGGCAGCAGCAGAGAAUUUUGGACAAUGGGGGCAACCCUGAUCCAGCCAUGCCGCGUGAGUGAAGAAGGCCUUCGGGUUGUAAAGCUCUUUUGGCCGGGAAGAAAGCGCCUCCUCUAAUACGGGGUGUGGUUGACCGUACCGGCAACAUAAGCACAUGCCAACUACGUGCCAGCAGCCGCGGUAAU